ensembl:snRNA U1 U1 spliceosomal RNA
AUAAAAAAUUUUAAAACCAUGAUCACGAAGGUGGUUUUCCCAGGGCGAGGCUCAUCCAUUGCACUCCAGAUGUGCUGACGCCUGUGGUUUCCCCAAAUGUGGGAAACUGAGCUGCAUAAUUUGUGGUAGUGGGGGUCUGUGUUCAUGCUUUCCCCUU